rnacentral:lncRNA from 1 species
AGUAAUGAAAAUGGAAACACUUCAAGGUUUCUUUGAAGACUAGAAAUAAGUUGGUGAAGGAUAUGGCAUAUAACAGAGCUGGAACACCCUUCUUCUCCUGCCUUUGGACAUCAGAACUUCAGAUUCUCUGGCCUUCAGACUUCAAGACUUGCACUAGUGGCCCCCUGGGUUCUCAAGGUUUUGGCCGCCUCGGUUGAGAGUUACACCAUCGGCUUCUUUGGUUCUGAGGCCGUUGGAGUUGGACUGAGCCAUGCUACCAGCUUCCCUGGGUCUCCAGCCUGCAGAUUGCCUACUGUGAGAUUUAGCCUCCAUAAUCA